CCCCCCCCCUCUACCGACCUUGCGCAGACCUUCCCAACACAGGCCGAGGCGCGGUUUCGGUUGGCGCUGUUGCGGGUUCAAGGGCGAGGCCGUUCACGCGUUUUCUCUCCCAGAGGGUGACAGGUAGCCACCGGCGCAGCAAUGCUGGCUUUCCAGAAGGGGCUGCGGUUGCUGAACGGGACCGUGAGGAGCCAGAUCCUCCCAAGGGCAAAGAUGUCCAACAAGCCAGGAAACAGUUUCUUGGAAAAUGCCAUUGGAUUCACAGUGAUUUUUGCUGGCGGCUUAUUCCCAAUUUGUUGGGUUAUGGGCAAUCUGGACAGUUACACUAAGUGAGAAAAAAAAGCUUUGGGAACAUGGUCACGAAGAAGAAAAUGUCAAUAUUUGCUAUUCCCAGAAGCUUUCAUUAUUAAAACUAAAAUUUGAAAAUUCA